AGCUCUGUGGUGAAGUUCAUAUCAGAUUGCAAAUCUGAGGAUAUAUCUUAGUAAUGGUAUCGGAGCUU
rnacentral:tRNA from 1 species